ensembl:lncRNA
GCCCUGCUCCAUGGGUGGUUAGCCCCAAGGAGUAAGUUAAAGUUAAGCCCAUUUGAAUUCCCAUAAGGUAGACCCAUUCCCCACAACCAAGAGAAGGGUAAACCAAUCCCAUAUCUCCCCUUGAAAUGGAACAACUCAAGUAUGCCCUCCAGUUUCACUUGCUUGUAGGGUGCAGGGACCUUGCCCCCUGGUACUUCAGACCAGGGCUCUUAGUGCAAAGCGGAUACACCCAACUGACUCUUCAACACAAAAAUGUGGUGGUGAGCUGUCUGCAGAAAUGCUGCACCUCUCACACUGCAAUCUGGAAUAAGAGCUGUGAGCAAUGAGGCUGUACCAAACUUGCAAGAACUCCACUCCUUCCCCACUGACUAGAUCCUUAUGAAGCUGUUGUACCACAGCUGUACUUAAGAUGCAAGGACUCCACGCCUUCCCUGCUGACAAGACCCUGCUCAUCGCCUUUCCAGGAGAGCUUGUACUCUUGAGUGCCAAUGUGCACUUUUCCCAUUCUAUGAUGAAAAAUAAAACUACUUCUGAACCAAACUUGGUCUUGUUCUAUUGGCUCAAAGGACACCAGCCAGAAGGCCCUUUGUCGAGACCUGAUUCUCAAACCCCAUUUCCCCAUCUCUGACCUUGAGGUAACUAUAUCCAUGGAUACAUGUGUGUUCUCCUUGCUUUUGUGAUUCCAGUAUAGACUGUUUCCCAUUUACCUGUCCUUGAUACUGAAGCUGAUGUGAGUAAAUUGAACCUGUUC